CUCAUUUUUCACUCACUAAUUACUGUAACUAAAGGGAUAUUUCUGUUUGUCUCCAUAGAGAGAAAGUGAGAGAAAAUGUUUCGGCGUUUACUUUCGUUUUUGCCUUGCGUGCCGAGGAAAAAACGGAAUAAACCCCCGAGAGAAUUUCUUGCGAUUGAAAAAGAUGAAGCCGAUGUGGUCGUCGUGGUAAGCAGGGAGGAACUGGUUAACACAAUAUAAUGAUCACACUUUGCUCACUAUUUGUGCUUUUCCAGCCAUUUCAUUUACUAUUAUUUUUGGCCAUUUUUGCUCGUUUAUUCUUGUAAUAAAACAUGAUUUUAUCCUUCC